GUGGAUUUUCGGUGCCUGGACGAAGGAUUCGGAGGAAAAACGUACAAACGAAAGAGAGCAGAGAAAGAGCAAGGUAAUGGUAUAGAAGCCAUGGAAGUGGAGGAGAUUCCAAGGAAGAGACAAGCGGUACCAUCUGAGGAGGAUCCAAACAAACCUGUAUUGGGAAGGCCGACAUACGACGGGGUGAUUGCAGGGAGGGUAUCGGGAAGGAAUUGGAAACAGCCGCGUAAACACAGAUCAUCGGCAGCGAAGGUGAGCGUGAAGGGGAAGUCAUUGGAGCAGAGGAUGAAAGAGAAGGAGAUUAAAAAGGCGUACAAGGAGAGAAUCAAUGAGCUCAAGGAAGUGAUAAGACACAACAAGGUGGAGAAGCGGAAGCAGAGGGAGGAAAGAGAGAAAAAGAAGCAGGAAAACAUUCUCAAGUCUGGCACCAAGGUUCAGAAGAUCACCAAUCCAAAAACCCUAAAAAAGAUUGCCAAAUCUAAGCAGAGGAAGCUCCUCAAGGUUGUUUCUGACCAUCUUCUUAACCGUGGAAACAACAAUUCUAUCUCAUAGAUUAAUAGUUAGUUUGCUCUUAUUAUGUUUUUGCUUGAUCCAUAGUAGUAUUUACUGGUUAUAUUUGUUCCUUCUGAAUUCAUGUAUUGUUUGUUAUAACACAAAUUUAUGACGCACAUUCGAGUUUAAGUUGCUUUUGUG
rnacentral:misc_RNA from 1 species